UACGUAGGGUGCAAGCGUUGUCCGGAAUCAUUGGGCGUAAAGAGCUCGUAGGCGGUCUGUCGCGUCGGCUGUGAAAACCCGGAGCUCAACUCCGGGCCUGCAGUCGAUACGGGCAAACUGGAGUACUGCAGGGGAGACUGGAAUUCCUGGUGUAGCGGUGAAAUGCGUAGAGAUGUGGAGGAAUACCCGAUGGCGAAGGCAGCCCCCUGGGCCAAUACUGACGCUCCAUGCACGAAAGGCGUGGGGAGCAAACGAGGAU
rnacentral:rRNA from 1 species